GAUGAGACAGAGGAUGAUGGUGAUAGUGAGGAGACUGAGCCUAUGGAGGAUGAGGAGGUUGAGCCCAGUGGGGAUAUGACAGUAGAUGAUGCGGGAAGUAGAGUAUCCGGAGAUGCUUUCGGUGGGACUGGAUGGGUUUGAGUGAGAGUAGCUACAUAUGAUGAUGGGAUGGAGAUGCUUAUAUGUAGAUAGAUGUAUAUAGAUAGAGAUGCAUAGUAUAGUGAGUAUAUCAGUAUCUUCAGUAUCUG
rnacentral:lncRNA from 1 species